AUGUGCAUCACCGCCCAUUAUAUCAAUGCAGAAUUCAACUACAAGAAGAAGACCAUAAGUUUCGCAGAAGUGAAGUAUCCCCACACAGGCUAUGUGAUAGAGGAAGAAAAAUGGGGCAUAAGAGGCAAAUUAUUCACUUUGACACUAGAUAAUGCUAGCAAUAAUACUAAUGCAUGUGAGGAGUUGAUAAAAUAUCACAAACAUGAGCUGCUCCUUGAAGGUCAACAUUUGCAUGUCAGGUGUUGUGGGCACAUUCUUAAUAUCUUGGUUCAGGAUGGAAUGAAAAUAAUCCAUGAAGCUAUUGACAUGAUACGUGAGCUGAUGAAGUAUAUUGACUCUUCUCCUUCAAGACUUCAAGAUUUCAAUACAAUUGCAAGUGGGAUGGGUCUGCGUGCAAAGAAAGGCAUCUUUGUUGAUACACCAACCAGAUGGAACUCAACCUGGAAAAUGCUUGUAGAA
rnacentral:rRNA from 1 species